GGCAUGAGAAUGCAUAUAACGUAUUCUAAAAUAGUAGGCGUACAAGAGUUUUCUAUGUGUGACUGAGGUAUGAGAAAAUCUAUUCUGAUAAACCUACAUCGGUCAAAAACACAAAUAGUUACCAAUUGAUAACAUGGCCGUGUUAUGUAUGAUUUUCACGAACUUUGUGUCUGGUGUGGACAGAUUUGUUUUUCCGACACAUAUGGUAGUAAAGUUUUUGAAAAGAGUGAAUCGUAUUUCGGAAUUAUUCUAGAUGCUGCAUGAGAAGUUGAAGACAAUUGUUUUUACCUGGAACUUUUGAUGAUUCAUACAGAGAUUGAAAGCUUUAUUAUUUAACGCAGUAGUUCAGUACGUUGGACACACCUGGGAACCCUGGAGUGGAACUCACAGGAUGUAGGCUAUAAUUUCAUUGGAAAAUGUUUAACUAUCGAAUUGAUUUCAACAACGAAAAUAACUGAGUUUCAGUUGAAACAUCAAGUUGAAGAUUGUAACUGAAGAAGACCACGGCAAAACUCGGAAAACAAUCAAAAUAUUUUUGUGUUGUCUUUCUUAUUAGAGCCUACAGUUUUUGUAAGCGCAAUCAGUAGUUUACCAUUUCUAUGUUAUUGUAAUUUUUUUCAGAUAACUAAGCUUUAGUUGAAACGUCAAGUUGAAGAUUGUAACUGAAUCAGACCACAGCAAAACUCAGAAAACAACCAAAAUAUUUUUGUGUUGUCUUUCUUAUUAGAGCAUACAGUUUUUGUAAGCGCAAUCAGUAGUUUACCAUUUCUAUGUUAUUGUAAUUCUUUCAGUUGAAAUGUCAAGUUGAAGAUUAUAACCAAAGAAGACCAGGGAAAAACUUGCAAAAUAACCAAAAUAUUUUUGUAUUGUUUUUGUUAUUAGAGCAAGCAGUUUUUGUGAGCGCAAUCAGUAGUUUACCUUUUCUAUAUUAAUGUAAUUCACUUUCAGAUCAUGUAACAUUAUAGUGUACAAAAUCAGUCAUAAGUUGAUUCAACUUGUUCAAAAUCAAUCCAGUAAAUUAUAUGUACUUUUAUAGAAGGACAUGUAUUAGAGGAAAGGAACUUGAAUUUCUCAACAAAUUAUUGUGAACAACAGUUCCAGACUUGUAAUUCAUUAAUAGUUAGUUCCAGAACCUCUUUGGAUGAUGUGUUCCACUUUUCGAAUAUAUAACACAAAGAAAAGGAAAACCAUUAUCUGCAACUAUAAGCUAAUGAAGCAUGAAUAUAAAUUUUCUUAAUUUUAGAUAAUUAUGUACAAAAUAACAACGAAAACUCUUUUUAUUUGCCCUAUAUAACGAUUUUAGAAUGGUAUGAAUUAUCUGUAAUCUUCACUUUCGAAUUAAUUUGUGAUUAUGAUGCACUCAUGAUAUUGAGAGGUGACUUGCACGCUAGAGGAUGUAUUUUUCCUUCAUAUACAUUCAUGAGGAUCCAAUUGAUAAUAAAAUGAUUUGAACGAGACCGGAUUUCUGAUAGAUGUGAAUUAUUUCUCUUUACCGUUCGUUUUCUGAUUGUUUUCGUAAAAAGAAAUCAGGAAAAGUAUGGUAAGGACAUUUUAACAAAAUUUUUCAAUGCUGGGUCUUGCAGAAAUUAAUGUACAGUUGCUAAGAUAUU